rnacentral:rRNA from 1 species
CAAUAGCGUAUAUUUAAGUUGUUGCAGUUAAAAAGCUCGUAGUUGGAUUUCGGAUGGGAUUUGCCGGUCCGUCGUUACGAUGUGCACUGGCCAGUCCUAUCUUGUUGUCGGGGACUAGCUCCUUGGAUUCACUUCCUGGGACUAGGAGCUGACGAGGUUACUUUGAGUAAAUUAGAGUGUUCAAAGCAAGCCUACGCUCUGAAUACAUUAGCAUGGAAUAACACGAUAGGACUCUGGCUUAUCUUGUUGGUCUGUGAGACCAGAGUAAUGAUUAAGAGGGACAGUCGGGGACAUUCGUAUUUCAUUGUCAGAGGUGAAAUUCUUGGAUUUAUGAAAGACGAACUUCUGCGAAAGCAUUUGUCAAGGAUGUUUUCACUAA